CGUGGAAGAAAGAAACAGCUUGUAGAGGAGAGUGAUAGUGAGGAUGAGGAGUGGAAGCCAAAGAGGGCCAAGAAAAGGUCAAGAGGAUCUUUUAGCGCACCUUUCAAGGCCCCUGUAUUCAAAUCAAACAAACCAGUUUUCACAAAGAAACAGCCUGAACCUAAACCACACACUGUAACAUCAGGGACUGUGUAUGAUGAUGACGGCAAUCCACUCAAUGAUGCUCAUCAUAUAGGGGGCGAGCGAAUCAUUGAUCUCCUUGAAUGGAAGGACUAUGACGAACCCACUCAACCACAAACCAAUCCAACAGCUUCAUCAGGUGAUCAGGG